rnacentral:rRNA from 1 species
UACGUAGGGUGCGAGCGUUGUCCGGAAUUAUUGGGCGUAAAGAGCUCGUAGGCGGUCUGUCGCGUCUGCUGUGAAAUCCCGAGGCUCAACCUCGGGCCUGCAGUGGGUACGGGCAGACUAGAGUGCGGUAGGGGAGAUUGGAAUUCCUGGUGUAGCGGUGGAAUGCGCAGAUAUCAGGAAGAACACCAACGGCGAAGGCAGCUCGCUGGGACGGAACUGACGCUGAGGCGCGAAAGCGUGGGGAGCGAACAGG